UCUAAGUUAUUUUUUUACCUGACUCUGAAUCAGUCACCACAGUUCAUACUUUUAUAGUUUUCAUUUAUUUACAAUAUUUUUUCUGUUUCUGAGUGUUAAUUGUAGUCAGCAUUGUCAUUUGCUAAUGUUAUAGGUCGAGAAGUUAUUUCAGAACAGUUCUAUGUGCUUCAACUGACACAUGCUCUCCUCCCUGUCAUCAUAUAUUGAGUCAGUGUUAGUGUGAGCACUCUAACAUUUCAGCCACUGACUUUGUGUUUUUAAGGUAGUUCAUUUAUUUUAGCUCCAGAUUUAGCUAAUGCCAUGAAGGAACGAGACCUUUAUCUCAUUUCAUGUCUUAGGCACCAUAAAAUGCUGAGUCACAGUGCAUCUGUGGGCUGCUCUUGCUAGGCAAAUGAUUUAAAGUUUGAAGUUGGAGUGAUUUCAGAUUUCUCCUAUACUUAUAUUAUUGUUCAAUUUCUUUUUUUUUUCUUUUUAAUUUAGUAUACUUGUGUAGCUGUAUGUGGUUGAAAUGGGGAGGAGGUGGAUUGAGAGUGUAUGAACUGUAAUAUUUUUAAGGCCAUUCUUAUUGUUCACAACUAACUGAAUACAGAUCUGUGUAGUCUAUUAUAACUAGUUUUGAAUGUACAGAGUAGUUGAUGCCAGGGAAAUACUUUUCAGGGUCUGCAGAAGGCAGUGCCCCUGUCAUGAGGCUAUUAAUACCAUUAGAAUUGAUGAUUGCUGGUACUCUGAGAAGAAAAAAAUGAGGGGAUUUGGAUCAGUUCCUAAACUAGAUUGUUCCGUGGUACAGCAGCAUGGUUAUAUAUGGUAUAUAUGUACAUACCUGUAUGUAUACAUACAUAAUACAUUUUUUUUUCAGCAUACCUACUGUCAAACCCUUCUAUGUCAAUUAGCUUUUUUUUAAUUUUUGGCCACCCUGCAGCAUAUGGGGUUCCCCGGCCAGGGAUCAGAUCCAAGCCACAGUUGUGACCUGUUACACAGCUGUGGCAACACUGGAUCCUUUAACUUGCUGUGCCUUGCCGGAUUGAACCUGAGUUCUAGCACACCAGAGACACCACUGCUCCCAUUGUGCCACAGGGGGCACUCCUCAGUUAGCACAUUUAAAAAUGUGCUUCAGUUUGCUUGUAUUAUUGCAGUGGUGUAGUAAGCAGAGAAACUGGGUGAGUUUAUCCAUUUGUGUGGGAAAAAAGAUAGUGGAGAAAAUUAAAGAUAGCGGAGAAAAUAAGAAAAUCAUUCAUUCAACAGAUAUGUAUUAUGGACUCACUAUGUGUCAGGCAUUUUGCAGGGCUAGGGAUAUAGUCAUAAACAAAGCGAAAUCUAUGCCUUCACAGAACUUACAUCCUAGUGGAGAAGACAGAAGGUAAACAAACAGGUAAAUAUACAGUAUAACAGAUGGUAAUAUGUGCUCUGAAGAGAAAGAAGAGGGAUAAGGCAGUCUUGGGGUUGAAUACUUUUUUUUUUUUUUUUUUUUUUUUUUUUUUUNNNNNNNNNNNNNNNGCCUUACCUGUGGCAUACAGAAGUUCCCAGGCAAGGGGUCGCACUGGAGCCACAGCUGCCGGCACAGCCACAGCACUGCAGGGUCUGAGACGCGUCUGGGACCUACACCACAGCUCACAGCAAUGCUGGAUCCUUAACCCACUGAACAAGACCAGGAAUCCAACUCGCAACCUCAUGGUUACUAGUUUCCACGGCACCACAACGGUAACUCCCAAAAAAUUAAGAUUUUUAAAUUUAUUUUUUAACACAUUUAUGUAAUUCGAAAUAUGCAAAGCAAAAUCUUGCCUCCAUCCCUGUCCUCUCCACCCUGCUUACCUCACCCCCAUUGCCUAUAUUUCUUACUUAUCCUUCCAUUGUUCUUUAUACAAGUCAAGCAAUACAAGUUUAUAUUUUCUAUACUAACUAUAGUUUUCUUUUCUUUGCAAUGAAUUUUCCUUCCAUAUGGAUUAAAGAUUUGACUUUUAAAAUAACAAUAAAAUGGGCUAAAA
rnacentral:lncRNA from 1 species